AAAGAGUGAAGGUUUUGAUAAAACUUUGUAUAUAUAGAUGGCAAAAAGCAUCUGUUGAACCUAAAUUAUGACUAAAAUUAUUAUUAUAGGCAUAUGAAAUAAUAUCUUAUGUUUGAUGUAAUACACAAUAGUCUCUAGAGCUUUUGUUUUAUCCCCUUUUGACUUCAUCACAAAAUAAAUGUGUGAUUUGACCUACUUGGUGGUAGAAGUAUUCACCUGGAGCUCAUCCAACUGAGAACUUGGCUCUAAAUGAAGUGAAACUCCUCACUAUCUGUCUUCAUUGCUAAUGGCCAUGCUUAUUUACGUGUGUAGAUUAUUCAUCAUAUGCUCUAUGAGUCAUAUCCGGCGUCAAGAGCAUAGCAUAUGGCACAUCAAUAUCACUUCCUGUUUGCUAUCCAUGUGUGUAUGUAGUAUCUAUAAUGCAAUAAAUUUGAGUAGGUGCGGCUAUAAGACUGUUGACUGUUCACUUUAACUGUGUAUCGCUGUUUUAUCCAAGUUACUUUUGUUGGACCCUGUUUAAUAAUUGAGAAGAUGCCAAAGACACGAGCUAAGACAAGAAAAGUUGACAGGAGGACCCUAAGAAAAGAAAGAUUUCAUCAUUUGGGAAAGAAAAGUUGGGAAAA